GAUGAACGCUGGCGGCGUGCUUAAUACAUGCAAGUCGAACGGAAAGGCCCUGCUCUUGUGGCGUGCUCGAGUGGCGAACGCGUGAGUGACACGUGAGUAAAAUGCCCUUGACUUUGGGAUAACUUCAGGAAACUCCGGCUCAUACCGGAUAGGAGAUCCUGCUGCAUGGUGGUGGUUGGAAAGUUUCGGCGGUUGUGGCUGGACUCGCGGCUUAUCAGCUUGUUGGUGGGGUAGUGGCUUACAAAGGCUGUGACGGAUAGCCCGCCUGGGCGGUUGACCGGCCUCAAGCGGCCUGCGGGACGCCCCAGAAUCCAAUGUGACGCAACAGUGGAGAAUAUUGCACAGCGAGCGCAAGCCAGAUACAGCGACCCCGCGUUCGUAAUAACGGCCUUCUAGUUAUAAACCGCUGUCGCCGUAAACGAAGCGUGAGUGACGGUAAUGAGUAAGAAAGCACCGGCUAACUACGUG
rnacentral:rRNA from 1 species